GCUGGGCGAGGUGGCGGGCGCCUGUACUCCCAGCUACUCGGGAGGCUGAGGCAGGAGAAUGGCGUGAACCCGGGAGGCGGGGCUUGCAGUGAGCUGAGAUCCGGCCACUGCAACCUCUGCCUCCUGGGUUUUAGUGAUUAUCCUGCCUCUU
rnacentral:sRNA from 1 species